rnacentral:rRNA from 1 species
GACGAACGCUGGCGGCGUGCCUAAUACAUGCAAGUCGAACGCAGUGGGGACGGGUGAGUAACACGUGGGUAACCUCCCAUCAGAGGGGAUAACACUUGGAAACCGGUGCUAAACCGAUAUGGAUGGUUGGACCCGCGUGGCAUUAGCUAGUUGGGGAGGUAACGGCUCACAAAGGCCACGAUGCAUAGCCGACCGAGGAGGGUGAUCGGCCACACUGGGACGGAGACACGGCCCAGACUCCUACGGGAGGCAGCAUUAGGGAAUAUUCGACAAUGGACGCAAGUCUGACCGAGCAACGCCGCGUGAGUGAAGAAGGUUUUCGGAUCGUAAAACUCUGUUGUUAGAGAAGCGGUAUCUAACCAGAAAGCCACGGCUAACUACGUGCCAGCAGCCGCGGUAAUAC